AUGGAACUUUUGGCCCUUGUUGUAGAUCCUGGAGCUGGAGGGCCCUGCAUGAUGGCUAGCGACUUCUACAGAGUUUUUCCCUUGCUGGAGUCAAGCUCGCCACGUGGUCCGGUCCACAAUGGGCAGCUCCUGCACAAGGCAAAUCCAUCACCUCGCUUGCUUCAUUUUGCUUCCUCUUUCUGGAAGUUGAACAGGUUGGCUGGUAGGAACGAACAACCUUGCACCGAGAGCAUGCAUUGCUGCAAGUUCUGGGCACACAGCAGUGAACAUUAGAUCAAGUUCUACCUGUCAAGAAGCUCACAUUCUGGGACAAACAAUGAACAAAUAAUUCACUAUGUGGAAUGUCAGAUGAUAAAGGCAGCUGAGAAAACAAAUGUCAUGUAAAAGGGAAAGACAUGGAAAGGGGUCUCCUCGAAUCAAUCUGUUUUCUCCUCCUGCUCACUGCCAGGCUGCCCUGGGAAUCAUCUUCUGAGUCACUGGAGUUCUAAAUUUCUUGAACUGUGAAAUGGGAAAAUGACAAUGGAAUUGUGUGUAGUUUUAUUUACUUGCUAAAACUAUAGUUUAGACAGUCUUUCCAAACUUUGAUUUGUUUAGAACUUUCACUUUAAAGAAAAGAAGGCACGAUUCCUUACUGAUUUAACAUUAACAGAAUGGUUGAAAGUGGUCCAAAAUUAUACAGAUUUUAGUGGCAUGAAAAAGGACUUGAAUGAAAAAGAAUAUGUAUAUAAACAAAAAUAUAUAAGGUACAAAAAGCAAUGCAUGGAGACUCUCAGGAGGCCUGAAAUUUAGACUAUAUUCUUCCAUAGCCAUGGAAUUACAUAGCCACUCUGUGCUGCUCAGCCUUGUCCAUACAGUCAUGCUAAGAGGCCAUCAAUCCUACAGUUAUUUGACCCCAUUCUUUCGUUUUUGAGAACUGAAAUGCUGAUGGUUGCAUUUAUUUGUUUUGUUUUUUUUAAUCUGAUGUUGGACUGUAACAAUUUACUUUUUAGCUAUAGAAGUCUCUGUUGCAAAGAAGUGCAGUUCCCGCUCAGCCUCUCUUUUCCAGGCUGGAGAAUGAGUAGAAAAUCUCAACUCAAGGGCUCCCAAGACUUGGAAAAAACUCUGAAUCAUUUCUUUCUUGUCAUUGCUUCAUGCUUCACUUCUUUGGGCGAUGCUAUGAAAUGAAAGCACAUUGUUCACUGUUCUGGUAAUGUUAAAAUGAUCCAUAAUAUGAUAUUGGAAAAUCACCAAAUUAUUUCACAGGUGAAUGGAAUGUUAAAGUUGCAAGCCAAGACAUUUACUUAAAUGUACUUUUUCAUCCUGUUUGAUGCUUUUAGUAUAAUUAAUCUUUUAUAGUUAUAAAGACAAAGUUGCAUUUUUUCCAAACACCUUCAUGCUCAUUUCAGUUUGUCAAGAGUAAGUCUUAGAAAACCAUCUUUUAAAAGCGAUGUUGCUUUAAAUUGUUUCACUGGGUCUAAUUUUUCAAUGUCAUCUUUUGUUUCACAUUAAAGAAAAAACCCUUCUUGCUUUAUUAAAAAAAGAUUUUUUUGCUAGAUGGCUUCAGUUUUUGUUUUUAAUAUUCCUGUGAGCACAAUCAGAUGGCGAAGUACGCUGGCACAUUGCUUUGUAUUUAUUUGACUCCCUCACCAAUGUCAAAUCCUAAGAGAAAAAAAUAGCCCAGAAGUCUGUGACUAAGUUUGUUUUCUGAGAUUCUGCAGAGAAGUGAUCUGAGAGAUAGUACCAUUACCCAGUGAAUGCAGACUGAAAUCCCAAAGAUGAAUUCCAGCACUUGCCUAAAUAAAUAAAUAAAUAAAUCAGAACCAUUUGCUUUUAUGUUUCUUCUUAGUGUUAAGUUCUCUAUAGAAACAUUAGUUGUGACGGAGCUUGAAACCACC
ensembl:lincRNA